rnacentral:lncRNA from 1 species
GCCUGUGUGUGAUGAGCUGCCCCAUUGCCCCCUUGGGGCUUGCAUGGGGACAUCCUGCAGCACCAGAUGUUAAUGGCGCUGCGUGGGGACAGCAAAACCUGGACUAAGAGACUGGGGUCCAUCAGCCAGGCGGAAGGCGAAGCGGCCGAGCUUCAGCUGCACACACAGCAGGAGGGAUGGGGAACGCGCCGGGAGCGAGAUGCAAACAGACCCAGGGAGGGGGAAAGCAGAGGCGUCGUGGAAGGGCUGGAAGACAAAAUGGUUUCCUUGGGAAAAGGCUGGUAAGCCUCAGCUGGAAAGGGACAGCGAGGGAGAGAUGAGAGAGCUGCUCCGGGUUGUGGAGAGAAGAGGAGCAUGGUUUGGGUAAAGCUGAGCUCACCCUGGCCCUUGACAUGGUAAUGAUGCAGACACAGACGUGUGAUAAGCCCUGCUCUGCACACACUUUAAAAUCUAAGUAGCUUAUGAAUAAGUAAUAAUCCCUAUUCCCAGUGCCAUAAUCUAUAUUUAAUUAAGAAAAUAACUAAAUGGCGGGAGUAAAGGGGGCUGUGUGGGGAAACGGUGACAGAAGCACUAUGAGAUAAGCUCUGGUGGGAACAGGGACAAAAGGCAAACUCAGCAUGGUCAUGGUGGCAUGGUGGGGCUGCUGGGCUGGGCACAGGGUGACCUGCAGGAGGAGGUCUGCCCCAGCGACUGCCAGGGUCAGCACUGAGCUGAAUGCUGGGCAGCUGCAUUGUUGGUGUGCUGUGUGUCUUCGUGUUCCCUCCGGCUCGAUGCUGGUGCUGAUGGUGGGCUGCAUGGACAGUGAUGUUCCAGCGUGCCCAAGCACUGUUUGACAGCACCCAAAUCACAGCCUUUGAUACUGUUACAACAUGCUGCUUAGUGCCUGUGAUAAAGCAUUCUUGGCAGGAUGCUCCAAAUGUCUUGCACUGACACAGGAAAGCCCUGCCAGAAUAACCCGUGCUGAGAUGGGAAGAGAGCAUUCUAGGUGAUGCCAAGGGCAGCUCUGAUCAACCCCCACUUUGGACAAGAGCAGAGUGUGGUGCCAAAGGUACCUCCAUCCAGGGACUCUGCAGGGUCCUUUCACCACCAAACAAAGCUCUUCAUAGCUAAAGCCCCACACC